UACGGAGGGGGCUAGCGUUAUUCGGCCUUACUGGGCGCAAAACGCACGUAGGCGGACUGGAAAGUCAGAGAUGAAAUCCCGGGGCUGAACCCCGGAACUGCCUUUGAAACUUCCGUUCUUGAGGUCGAGAGAGGUGGGUGGAAUUCCGAGUGUAGAGGUGAAAUUCGUAGAUAUUCGGAGGAACACCGGUGGCGAAGGCGGACCCCUGGCUCGAUACUGACGCUGAGGUGCUAAAGAGCGGGGAGCAAUCAGG
rnacentral:rRNA from 1 species